rnacentral:rRNA from 1 species
UCGCUGAUAGUUACGACAGUACUAUGAUGGAAGACACGUAAGUAACCUGCCUAUUAGAGGGGAAUAACAGUGAGAAAUCAUUGCUAAUACCGCAUAUACUACUAACUUCGCAUGAAGAAUGUAGGAAAGGAGUAAUCCGCUAAUAGAUGGACUUGCGCCUGAUUAGCUAGUUGGUGGGGUAAUGGCCUACCAAGGCAACGAUCAGUAGCCGGACUGAGAGGUUGAACGGCCACAUUGGGACUGAGAUACGGCCCAGACUCCUACGGGAGGCUGCAGUAGGGAAUCUUCCACAAUGGGCGCAAGCCUGAUGGAGCACGCCGCGUGUGUGAUGAAGGCUUUCGGGUCGUAAGCACUGUGUAUGGGAAGAAUGCUAAAUAGGGAUGAUUUAGUUGACGUACAUACAGAAGGACGCUAAUACGUGCAGCAGCGCGUAUACUAUGUCCGAGCGUAUCGAUUAUGGGAAGGGGCAACGUGAUAAUUAUGAAGCGACCCUCGAUGCUGAAUGUACUAGUUAAGGAGGAUCUGGAGGGAGGAUUUGAACCUGAGGUUGAACAUUGGCAGGGAAAGAAACGUCCCAGAAGGUGGUCCUAGACAUUUCGGGACGUUAUUGCCGGAGUUCCCACUCUCUUUAUUUCAGGGUCGUGUUACUUUUUGAGAAAAUUCACAGAUUUCUACCUCUGNUUCGCGAUGGACUAUCUGGACAGGGGAGCGCUCCUGUGGCAAGGCGGCUUAUCUGGACAACAAUCUGACUUGAGGCUCGAAAGUGUGGGUAGCAAACAGGAUUAGAUACCCUGGUAGUCCACACCGUAAACGAUGAAUACUAGGUGUUAGGAGGUUUCCGCCUCUUAGUGCCGAAGCUAACGCAUUAAGUAUUCCGCCUGGGGAGUACACCGCAGGUUGAAACUCAAGGAUUGACGGGACCCGACAGCGUGAGAUGUGGUUAUUCAAGCACCGAACCUACGGCUGCUCCUUGAGCUUUAAGAUAAGGUUCUUUGGGCAAGGACAGUGGGCAUGUCGUCGUCAGCUCGGUCGGAGAUGUUGGUAAGUCCCGCAACGAGCGCAACCUUAUGUUAGUUGCCAGCAUUCAGUUGGGCACUCUAGCGAGACUGCCGGUGACAAACCGGAGGAAGGCGGGGACGACGUCAGAUCAUCAUGCCCCUUAUGACCUGGGCUACACACGUGCUACAAUGGCGUAUACAACGAGUUGCCAACCUGCGAAGGUGAGCUAAUCUCUUAAAGUACGUCUCAGUUCGGACUGCAGUCUGCAACUCGACUGCACGAAGUCGGAAUCGCUAGUAAUCGCGGAUCAGCACGCCGCGGUGAAUACGUUCCCGGGUCUUGUACACACCGCCCGUCACA